rnacentral:tRNA from 1 species
GCACCGGUGGUUUAGUGGCGUAGAGCAUUCCCGCCCGGUCAGCGGGAUGUGCGGGUUCGAGUCCCGUUUGGUGCU